AUGCACUGUCAAAUGAACUGAAUGUCUUUGAACCCUGGCAUUACGGUCUGUUGCGGUGCGAGAUUAAACCCAGCUUGCAGAUGGGCUGGGCCUCUGAUCAGUAGCCUAUCCCAUUCGAAGGUUGGGAACAUUU
ensembl:snoRNA